UACGUAGGGUGCAAGCGUUAAUCGGAAUUACUGGGCGUAAAGCGUGCGCAGGCGGCUUUGCAAGACAGAUGUGAAAUCCCCGGGCUCAACCUGGGAACUGCAUUUGUGACUGCAAAGCUAGAGUACGGCAGAGGGGGAUGGAAUUCCGCGUGUAGCAGUGAAAUGCGUAGAUAUCGUGAGGAAGACCAGUGGCGAAGGCGGAUCUCUGGACAGUUCCUGACGCUGAGGCGCGAAAGCGUGGGGAGCAAACAGG
rnacentral:rRNA from 1 species